AAACCAGCACCUCAAGUGGUCAGGAGGAUUAUUGGGCCGAAAGCAUCCGUAGCCUGUUCUAUAAGUUUCCGGUUAAAUCCAUUAGCUCAACUAAUGGGCUGCCGAAAAUACUGUAGAACUCGGGAGUGGGAGAGGUAGACGGUAUUCGGUAGGAAGGGGUAAAAUCCUUUGAUCUAUUGAGGACCACCUGUGGCGAAGGCGGUCUACCAGAACACGUUCGACGGUGAGGGAUGAAAGCUGGGGGAGCAAACCGGAUUAGAAACCCGAGUAGUCC
rnacentral:rRNA from 1 species